rnacentral:rRNA from 1 species
GAGUUUGAUCAUGGCUCAGAUUGAACGCUGGCGGCAGGCCUAACACAUGCAAGUCGAGCGGAUGACGGGAGCUUGCUCCUUGAUUCAGCGGCGGACGGGUGAGUAAUGCCUAGGAAUCUGCCUGGUAGUGGGGGACAACGUUUCGAAAGGAACGCUAAUACCGCAUACGUCCUACGGGAGAAAGCAGGGGACCUUCGGGCCUUGCGCUAUCAGAUGAGCCUAGGUCGGAUUAGCUAGUUGGUGGGGUAAUGGCUCACCAAGGCGACGAUCCGUAACUGGUCUGAGAGGAUGAUCAGUCACACUGGAACUGAGACACGGUCCAGACUCCUACGGAGGCAGCAGUGGGGGAAUAUUGGACAAUGGGCGAAAGCCUGAUCCAGCCAUGCCGCGUGUGUGAAGAAGGUCUUCGGAUUGUAAAGCACUUUAAGUUGGGAGGAAGGGCAGUAAGUUAAUACCUUGCUGUUUUGACGUUACCGACAGAAUAAGCACCGG